GGCCCUGGUGUCCUCAAAUGAGAACAAGACAUUAAAGCCGUGAGUUGCUCCAUAAACAAGCAAAACGAAUAAAAAACAGAAACCCAAAAAACUCAGCAGGCAUCUCCAUCGCCAUGGACAUCAGUUCUCGUGCGCUCGCGUUUGCCUAAGCAGCGGCAAGAAACAACAAAGAUGAAAGACGACAACGUCGAAGCUGGACCAAGUAGGCGCCGGAAUGAAACCUCACUUCCUCUACUCAGCGACUAGGGCCCGCAGGUCUUGAUUUGUGCCUCUCGAAGACGCAGAUGAAAUGUUCGCCCAACUUGAUAAUGGAAAUUUAUCAGACGUUGGGGAGAAUGAAGAAUAUGACGAAGAUGACGACUUCAUUCCUGAAGAAACAGGAAGCGAUGACUGCUUCCUCGAUUCGUCAGAAACUUCUGGAUAAUCAGAUGAAGAGCAACCGUGUAAUGAAAUGUCAUGGUCCAGAAGAGCCUUUGACAAAUCAUCUGCUGAUUUUAGUGGAGUUUGUGACGAAAAUGAGCAUUGUCUUGACGAGCUUCCAACUCCGUACGAAUAUUUCUCGCGCUACGUGCCAAAGAACGUCUUUGUUGAGCUGGCUAACAAAACAAACUUGUAUUUUGUGUUCAAAGAAGGAAAAUCGGUCCAAACGAAUGAAGAAGAAAUAAGGAAGCUUAUUUCUCUACGCUUAAUAAUGGGUGUCGUUAAAUACCCCCGUCUGCGCUUAUAAUAGAAGCCAUCACUGAAAAUGGCACAUUGCCAGUAGUCAAGUAUUGGGAAAUAGAGAUACUAAACGAAAGAACGGAAAAUUGACGUCAGCAAGGAAGAAAUUCCAGCAGCGCAUCUGGCUCCAUGUGCACACAUCGCGUGAACUGACCGGCUUUGUCUUCAUUGACGGGUCAGCUUCUUUGACUUCUAAAACAUCCCAGAAUAUGGAGGCCACACUGCAGCCUCAAGAUUAGCAACUUUUACUGCAUCGAAGUAUGUUUGUAACAUGGAAAAUAAACUGUUACAAAAGA